GCCAGCAGCCAUAUCACUCUGCAGCGCACAACUGGCAACCCAAUGGAACUAAGCAGGAGUGAGCCUGGUCAGUACCUGGAUGGGGGACCUCCUGGGAAAACCUAAGGUUGCUGCUGGAU
rnacentral:rRNA from 1 species